GAACGCUGGCGGCGGCCUACACAUGCAAGUCGAGCGGUAACAGAUCCAGCUUGCUGGAUGCUGACGAGCGGCGGACGGGUGAGUAAUGCAUAGGAAUCUGCCCGAUAGUGGGGGAUAACCUGGGGAAACCCAGGCUAAUACCGCAUACGUCCUACGGGAGAAAGGGGGCUCCGGCUCCCGCUAUUGGAUGAGCCUAUGUCGGAUUAGCUAGUUGGUGAGGUAACGGCUCACCAAGGCCACGAUCCGUAGCUGGUCUGAGAGGAUGAUCAGCCACAUCGGGACUGAGACACGGCCCGAACUCCUACGGGAGGCAGCAGUGGGGAAUAUUGGACAAUGGGGGAAACCCUGAUCCAGCCAUGCCGCGUGUGUGAAGAAGGCCCUCGGGUUGUAAAGCACUUUCAGCGAGGAAGAACGCCUAGCGGUUAAUACCCGCUAGGAAAGACAUCACUCGCAGAAGAAGCACCGGCUAACUCCGUGCCAGCAGCCGCGGUAAUACGGAGGGUGCGAGCGUUAAUCGGAAUUACUGGGCGUAAAGCGCGCGUAGGUGGCUUGAUAAGCCGGUUGUGAAAGCCCCGGGCUC
rnacentral:rRNA from 1 species